rnacentral:rRNA from 1 species
GACGUAGGGCGCGAGCGUUGUCCGGAUUUAUUGGGCGUAAAGAGCUCGUAGGCGGCUUGUCGCGUCGUCCGUGAAAACUUGGGGCUCAACCCCAAGCUUGCGGUCGAUACGGGCAGGCUAGAGUUCGGUAGGGGAGACUGGAAUUCCUGGUGUAGCGGUGAAAUGCGCAGAUAUCAGGAGGAGCACCGGUGGCGAAGGCGGAUCUCUGGGCCGAUACUGACGCUGAGGAGCGAAAGCGUGGGGAGCGAACAGG